UCUCGAUAUCCCUCAUUUUGCGAUGUCUACUUGGAAGAUGUGCGGAACAAACGAAGACGACAAAGCCGAGAGGUUGUCACAAGAAGGUGGUUGACAGUGGUUUGCUGAUGAAGACCCUUUGGCUGCUGUAAUGUUACACGAGACUCCAGACUACCUCAAUCCAAUGGUCAGUUGAAUUGAGAGGAAGAGGGGGGAUAAAGUACUGCACAAGGAGGUGGAAUGCCUGUUGAGAUUAUCCUAGAUCAGGAAAGGUGUUGAAGAUCAACCAGAAUAAAGAUCAUCUCCUUUAAACCGUUUAAUGUGAAAGUAACAGUGGCAGUAUGUUUAUUCCACUUAAUGUAAAUUCUUGGUCAAAAUCAAGGUCUGCGAUGUCAGUUCUACCACCUGAACAUGCAGAUAAUUUAAGUAGUUACUCAGACCCCUGUUAUCUUCACAGUUAAAAGCUGGAACACCAGAGCUAAACUGACUGGUGCCAAGAUAUCCGAGUUCAAUAUGCAUGUUCUUGUUUCUUAAUAAAUGAAUAUAAAGACCUGC